GUGAGCAGCUUCUGGUGCCCACCCAGGAUGGGAUGGAGCCAUUUCCCACAGAGGUGCCAACCAUGCAGUGCACCCAUCCAUGGGACAGGGUGAGGAGCUCAUCCUCUUCCUCUUCUUCCUCCUCCCUGGAGCCCUACUGUGGUGAGAACGCAGCCUCCACAGCACCCCCAGCUGCGCCCUGUGAGCCCAUCCCAGUGCUCAACAUGCCGUGGGUAUCACCACCCCCAGCAGACCCCGACCAUGCUGACAGCUCCAGCACCUCCUCAGGGGAGUGGUACGAGAACGUGCAGGGUGCUGAGACAUACGGGGAUCCAUCCCUAAAGGAACACACACAGGACCCCAGCUUCUCUGAGGGGAGUGACUACGAUGACAUCCAGGGCUCUGGCUGCUGAGAGUGGGAACAGGCAGCGGGGAGGGGACUCAUCCAUAACACAGCCGUGGGCCAUUAAAAGCUUUUAGCCCC
rnacentral:lncRNA from 1 species